GAUGAACGCUGGCGGCGUGCCUAAUACAUGCAAGUCGAGCGAACGGACGAGAAGCUUGCUUCUCUGAUGUUAGCGGCGGACGGGUGAGUAACACGUGGAUAACCUACCUAUAAGACUGGGAUAACUUCGGGAAACCGGAGCUAAUACCGGAUGAUAUUUUGAACCGCAUGGUUCAAAAGUGAAAGACGGUCUUGCUGUCACUUAUAGAUGGAUCCGCGCUGCAUUAGAUAGUUGGUAAGGUAACGGCUUACCAAGGCAACGAUGCAUAGCCGACCUGAGAGGGUGAUCGGCCACCCGGGAACUGAGACACGGUCCAGACUACUACGGGAGGCAGCAGUAGGGAAUCUGCCGCAAUGGGCGAAAGCCUGACGGAGCAACGCCGCGUGAGUGAUGAAGGUCUUCGGAUCGUAAAACUCUGUUAUUAGGGAAGAACAUAUGUGUAAGUAACUGUGCACAUCUUGACGGUACCUAAUCAGAAAGCCACGGCUAACUACGUG
rnacentral:rRNA from 1 species